rnacentral:rRNA from 1 species
GUGAAAUGCGUAGAUAUCCGGAGGAAUACCAAAGGCGAAGGCAGUGUUCUGGGAGGUACCUGACGCUGAGGUGCGAAAGCCAGGGGAGCGAACGGGAUUAGAUACCCCGGUAGUCCUGGCGGUAAACGAUGACCACUAGAUGUGUGGGGGCUCGACCCCCUACGUGUCGACGUUAACACGAUAAGUGGUCCGCCUGGGGAGUACGGUCGCAAGAUUAAAACUCAAAGGAAUUGACGGGGACCCGCACAAGCAGCGGAGCGUGUGGUUUAAUUCGAAGCAACGCGAAGAACCUUACCAGGGCUUGACAUGCUCUUGCACCUCUCUGAGAGGAGAGUCCCUUCGGGGCGGGAGCACAGGUGCUGCAUGGCUGUCGUCAGCUCGUGCCGUGAGGUGUUGGGUUAAGUCCCGCAACGGGCGCAACCCCUGUCGUCGGUUGGAGAUGUCCGACGAGACUGCCGCGAUGAACGUGGAGGAAGGUGGGGAUGACGUCAAGUCAGCACGGCCCUUACGUCCUGGGCGACACACACGCUACAAUGGCUGGGACAAGGAGGAGCGAACCCGCGAGGGGGAGCCAAUCUCAGCAAACCCAGUCUCAGUUCGGAUUGCAGGCUGCAACUCGCCUGCAUGAAGUCGGAGUUGCUAGUAACCGUAGGUCAGCACACUACGGUGAAUACGUUCCCGGGUCUUGUACACACCGCCCGUCACACCACGAAAGUCGGCAACCCCUGAAGCCGCUGGGCUAACUCCUUUGAGGAGAGGCAGGCGUCGAGGGUGGGGUCGGUGAUUGGGGUGAAGUCGUAACAAGGUAACCGU